rnacentral:rRNA from 1 species
GACAGAGGUGCCGAGCGUUAGGCGGAAUCACUGGGCUUAAAGCGCGUGUAGGCGGACCGUUAAGUGCUCCGUGAAAUCCCCCGGCUCCAACCGGGGAACGGCGGGGCAUACUGGCGGUCUUGGGCCACCUAGGGGUGCAUCGGAACAGGCGGUGGAGCGGUGAAAUGCGUAGAUAUCGCCUGGAACGCCGACGGUGAAAACAGAUGGACUGGGGGUG